GCGUCUGUAGCCUAGUUGGUAAAGGCAGCACUCUAGGAAGCUGAGGUCGUGAGUUUGACUCUCACCAGACACA
rnacentral:tRNA from 1 species